UGCAAGUCGAACGAUGAAGCCCAGCUUGCUGGGUGGAUUAGUGGCGAACGGGUGAGUAACACGUGAGUAACCUGCCCCCGACUCUGGGAUAAGCCCGGGAAACUGGGUCUAAUACCGGAUAUUACCUUUGACCGCAUGGUUGUUGGUGGAAAGAUUUAUCGGUGGGGGAUGGACUCGCGGCCUAUCAGCUUGUUGGUGAGGUAAUGGCUCACCAAGGCGACGACGGGUAGCCGGCCUGAGAGGGUGACCGGCCACACUGGGACUGAGACACGGCCCAGACUCCUACGGGAGGCAGCAGUGGGGAAUAUUGCACAAUGGGCGAAAGCCUGAUGCAGCGACGCCGCGUGAGGGAUGACGGCCUUCGGGUUGUAAACCUCUUUCAGUAGGGAAGAAGCGAAAGUGACGGUACCUGCAGAAGAAGCGCCGGCUAACUACGUGCCAGCAGCCGCGGUAAUACGUAGGGCGCAAGCGUUAUCCGGAUUUAUUGGGCGUAAAGAGCUCGUAGGCGGUUUGUCGCGUCUGCCGUGAAAGUCCGAGGCUCAACCUCGGAUCUGCGGUGGGUACGGGCAGACUAGAGUGAUGUAGGGGAGACUGGAAUUCCUGGUGUAGCGGUGAAAUGCGCAGAUAUCAGGAGGAACACCGAUGGCGAAGGCAGGUCUCUGGGCAUUUACUGACGCUGAGGAGCGAAAGCAUGGGGAGCGAACAGGAUUAGAUACCCUGGUAGUCCAUGCCGUAAACGUUGGGCACUAGGUGUGGGGGACAUUCCACGUUUUCCGCGCCGUAGCUAACGCAUUAAGUGCCCCGCCUGGGGAGUACGGCCGCAAGGCUAAAACUCAAAGGAAUUGACGGGGGCCCGCACAAGCGGCGGAGCAUGCGGAUUAAUUCGAUGCAACGCGAAGAACCUUACCAAGGCUUGACAUGUGCCAGACCGCCUCAGAGAUGGGGUUUCCCUUCGGGGCUGGUUCACAGGUGGUGCAUGGUUGUCGUCAGCUCGUGUCGUGAGAUGUUGGGUUAAGUCCCGCAACGAGCGCAACCCUCGUUCCAUGUUGCCAGCACGUAAAGGUGGGGACUCAUGGGAGACUGCCGGGGUCAACUCGGAGGAAGGUGGGGAUGACGUCAAAUCAUCAUGCCCCUUAUGUCUUGGGCUUCACGCAUGCUACAAUGGCCGGUACAAUGGGUUGCGAUACUGUGAGGUGGAGCUAAUCCCUAAAAGCCGGUCUCAGUUCGGAUUGGGGUCUGCAACUCGACCCCAUGAAGUCGGAGUCGCUAGUAAUCGCAGAUCAG
rnacentral:rRNA from 1 species